GAGCAGCUCACCAAAAGCACUUAGGAAGAGGGGAAUAUUUGUGUUAGAGUUUCUUGCGCUGCCAUGAUAUUCAUAUCUUAGGCUUCUGAAGGUGUUCUCCAGUACCCAGUUUCUAUUUCCCUUCUGAACUUUCAAGACCUACCCCAUGUGUGUGUUCUUCUUCAUGGACUUUUAUGACUGACACCUCUCAUCCCUCACAACAUAUUCCAUAGCCUAGGAUGGAUCCACAACCACAUGUUUCUAUCUCUGCCUGGCUUCCACAAAACACCAGAUGAGACAAAUGGAGAAAAGGAAUGCCAGGCAAGGAAAAUAUCACAGAGUUUGUGAGACUGACAGAAAAGUAGGCUUACCUAAUUAAGGUGUAGAG
rnacentral:lncRNA from 1 species